AGUAGAUAUACGUAUAUAUGUAUAUAUACGUAACCAUUAGACCAGGAUGUAAUAACUGAUAAAUAUUUAAUAAUUCGCAGAAGAGAUGACUCUCUGCAUAACAACACAGAUAAUAAAUUAGCUACCAGAACACUUUAAGAAUGUAGAAAGGUUAUUGUAUAUCAAAUAGCUGUUCAAGUUUUUUAUAGAAGUGGUAAAAUCUGACUAUAUAUACCAGUGUAAAAUCAUCGAUAUUUAACAGUCUUUAAGAUUUCAAUUCAGCACAAGGAGCUAUUUGCACAACAACCACAAUGCCAUAUCAUCGAUCAAUAACUUCUUCGGAUUCAGAGGAUGAACAUUUUAGUGAAACUGUUGAUAAGAAAUGAGUCCGUCAGUAUCGAAAAUAAAACCUAAUUCAAAACGUAACGCAACAAGUGAGAAAAAAAAAUCCAGAAACAAAAAGCCAAUGAAGAUUCACAAAUCAUACCGUGAAAAUGUUGGCUGAACCUUUUACA